GUCUUUUCAUAGAGGUGAUAUUUGAGCUGAGACGUGAAACAUGAACUUGUGCUAGCCAUGUGAAAAGCUGGGGAGACAUUUCAGACCUGGGAACAAGUUCAAAGACCUGGAAGGCUGGUUGUUAGACUGGAGAGAAGGCUCCUCUGAGCAAGGGGAGAAAUUAUGAAUAGGGUAGGAAUGAGAUGGAGUUGGAGAGAUCCUAUAGGUCGUCUUGUAUUACUCCAUAGGGGGAUUUUUGGAUUUAAUUCUAAUGGCAAUGAGAGGGGUUUUAAUUUGGGCAGUGAUAAUGUUUUUAAAAAUAACUGGCUAUUUAGAGGAAGAGAGGAAACAGGGAAGUUAGGAGGCUAUUGUAGUCAGCCCAAGAUCGAUAGUAUCUCAGGCAAGUAAAGUGGCAAUGAGAUACAGCAGAGUAGACAGCAACUUUUACAUAUGUAUUUUGGAGGUGGAAUCAGAAGGAUUUGCUUAAUGGGUUGGCUGUGGAGGGAGAGGGAGGAAUCAAGGGUGCCUUCAGGUUGCAGGCUCCAGCCUUGGGCUGCUGAUGGUACCAUUUGCUGGUUGGAGAAGACUGGAGGAGGAACAGGUGGAGAGGAGUGGGUAGCAAGAGUUCUGUGUAAAUACUUGGGAGGCAUCCAAGCGGAGAGUUAAGUAGGCACUGAAUAUUUAAGUUGAGCUGAGGGGAGUGAUCUAGACUGGACAUAAAUUUUGGGAGUCACUAGUAUACAGAUGGCAUGUCAUGGAACUGAUUGAGAUUGUUUGUGGCCUUAAGAUCAAGCCCUGCGAGACUGGAGUAAUAAAACUCUGGUCUCCCACACAGCCAGCUCUGUGUGGGGAAAAAAAAAAGCCCUAAAACACUAACAACGGCUAAAGCUUGGGCAAAGGAGACUGAAAAGGUUCAGCCAUUAAAGUGGGAGAGUAUUUUAUUAUUUUCAAGAAAGAGGGAAUGGUCACCUCUGUCAAAUGCUGCUGAGAAGUUACACAAUGAGAAUAGAGAAAUGUCUAUUUGGAUUUGACAACAUGAUGGUGACUGUUUUGACAAGUGGUCCAAGCCACAUUGGGAUGCUUCGAAGAGAGAAUAGGAAGUGAGGUGAAUAUCGACAGCUCGUU
rnacentral:lncRNA from 10 species